rnacentral:rRNA from 1 species
GACAGAGGUGCCGAGCGUUAGGCGGAAUCACUGGGCUUAAAGCGUGUGUAGGCGGCGGCGUAAGUACCUUGUGAAAUCCCACGGCUCAACCGUGGAACUGCUCGGUAUACUGCGUCGCUUGAGCCAGCUAGGGGCGACCGGAACAAACGGUGGAGCGGUGAAAUGCGUAGAUAUGCGGAGGAACACCGAUGGCGAAGGCAAUCCCCUGGGCCUGCACUGACGCUCAUGCACGAAAGCGUGGGGAGCAAACAGG